UCCGCCUGUAUUGGGGAGUAGUCUACUAAGAACUCUUAGUUUGUAUGUCGUCAUCCCGUUAAGCGUUCGCUUUUCCGGCAUACAAAGGUAUAAGCCCUUAACCAGCUUUCACUCUGACGAGACCAACGCAUUCAAG
rnacentral:misc_RNA from 10 species